AUACGGAGGGUGCAAGCGUUACUCGGAAUCACUGGGCGUAAAGCGCGCGCAGGCGGCUAUUUAAGUUGGAUGUGAAAGCCUAUGGCUCAACCAUAGAACUGCAUCCAAAACUAUUUAGCUAGAGUGUGGGAGAGGAAGAUGGAAUUAGUUGUGUAGGGGUAAAAUCCGUAGAGAUAACUAGGAAUACCAAAAGCGAAGGCAAUCUUCUGGAACACUACUGACGCCGAGGCGCGAAAGCGUGGGGAGCAAACAGGAUUAGAAACCCUUGUAGUCC
rnacentral:rRNA from 1 species